rnacentral:lncRNA from 1 species
GUCUGGCUAACAAGUUCGGAACAGCUCCCUCCCAUCUCCUAACUGGAGGAUGCGCAGUCUGUUCCAGUCCAGAAAUAAAGCUGAGAAGGCAAUAAAUACCUGCGAAAGAAAAACGCACACCAGGGCCUGAGGGGUUUUUGUUCCGGGGGAAUGGACUAAAAAGGGAGAGAAACAAAGAACGGGGCGAGGUCUUCAGGGGUUCCUCCCCUGCUCAGUCUUAUUUUCUCUCGUCCCUUUCUCUUUCCUUUCCUUUCUUCGAGAGAGGAGUUCUGGGUGGCCAUAAAACUAGUUGAGCCGGGGGCUCCGCCCCAGUCUAUUUGGUAGUCGGGGUUUGGGAGCGAAGCUCCAAGCGCCUGGGGAACCGAACCUCGAGCCUGGACCCCGGAGGGGGCUGCACCGGGCGGGCUUUUUAACUGCAAACUCUCUGGAGGAGCGGCGGGAGCCAAAGGAAGUUCGAAACACCCAAGGCACUCUUCCUUUUAGGGCAACGGGGAGAGGCAGCAGCUCGGGGCCGGGAGAAGUCACGGGCUCUGGCGGAGGCGCCAAACAGCCUCACCUGCGCGCCUAGAACCCACCUGCCCUCGCACACGCAGCCACACCUACGCGGGCCGACACAAGAAACCACACGUCCCUUACACACUCACUCGCCCUUACGUCUAUACUCGCGUGCAGCCAGGCACCCAGAUUGGCGAGCACAAAAGAACGCGCAUCAGGGAGGAGUUGGCUCCUGCCUUAUCCCUCUUUUCACUACUUUGUACCCCUGGAAAGCCUUGGACUUAUUGGAGCCUUUUAGUCCUGUUCAGAAGAUGAAGACGCAUCUCCUAUUGUUGAUGCUGCUGCUGCUGCUGCCUCCAUUGCCUGUAUCCUCAGUGAGAGAUCUUCUUUUCCUGAAGCCAUAUAUUUCCAAGGUGAAUUAGAACUCAGAAGACCUGAAUUUCUAUCCUGACUCAGAUACUUACCAGUUUUGUGACCUUAGGCAAGUUGUAAGUGAUCUUUCUUAGCUCAGUUUCCUCCUCUGUAAAAUGGGGAUAAUAACACCUGGCUCACAGGGUUGCUGCAAGGAUCAAGAGUGAUCAUAUAUAAAGAAUUUUGCAAAAAGAUAUAAUGAUCAAAACAUAUAUACCAUACAAUAAAAAUAAAUAUAACAUAUAAAACA